AUUGAACGCUGGCGGCAGGCCUAACACAUGCAAGUCGAACGAGUGGCGGACGGGUGAGUAAUGUCUGGGAAACUGCCCGAUGGAGGGGGAUAACUACUGGAAACGGUAGCUAAUACCGCAUACCAUCAGAUGUGCCCAGAUGGGAUUAGCUAGUCGGUGGGGUAACGGCUCCCCUGGGCGACGAUCCCUAGCUGGUCUGAGAGGAGGACCAGCCACACUGGAACUGAGACACGGUCCAGACUCCUACGGGAGGCAGCAGGGGGGAAUAUGGCACAAUGGGCGCAAGCCUGAUGCAGCCAUGCCGCGUGUAUGAAGAAGGCUUGCGGGUUGUAAAGUACGUUCAGCGAGGAGGCGUUACCCGCAGAAGAAGCACCGGCUAACUCCGUGCCAGCAGCCGCGGUAAUUC
rnacentral:rRNA from 1 species